rnacentral:lncRNA from 1 species
AAAUAAGCUGGAUACUGCUGACAAUGUUUGCUCCUGCCCCAGGCCAGAGGCAACCAACCAAUGCACCCUUUCUUGGACUACCAGUUUAAUAUUGUUUGGUCUAGCUUGAAAUGUGGCAGUCAUGACGUCAACAUUUACAAAAAGCUGUACUUUAUAGCAAGCUUUAAUAGACAUCAUUCAAGGUUUGGACAAGAUUUCUUAUAAGGCAAUCUGCUCCAAAUCGAUCCCAGAUCCUCCAAUGCCCAUUUUGGGUGAGCUAUUUCCAUCUUUAUAACCAUACAGAUGUGUUCCAUGUGUAGCCAAAUGAAAUCAUUGUGAUGAAGUCUGACAUGAAAUGCUUGAAAGUUGUUACAAAUGUCUGUUAAAAGAUUGUGUGCUGUUAAUGUGGAUUUUGAGAUAUUAAAGGAUCAACUCACAGAAAUGUAUACAGUAUAGCUUGAGUUCACAAGACAUGAGAAAGUGCAGAAUCAAAUCUGUUUUCAAGCUUCAUGGGGUUAAUUUUACAUAGAUAUGCUGUGGACCAGGUGGCGUGUUCCUCUGCUGUAUGGUGUGGAUGAGAGAAGAGAAGGGGAAAAGGAGAAGGAAAGACUUCUAAGCUAGUAGAAACGGGAAAUAGUGACCCUGCAUCCUUCUUUCUCCCCUUUCCUGCUUUGCAUUCAGAAUCCCCUCUGAAUGGCUGGAAUCCACUGGUUUGGUGGGAGGGUGUGUUGGGCCUGGAAGAGGAAUAGCUGAUCUGUGUAGCAUGCUGCCCUCCAGAGUUGGUAGAUUUCCAGAUUUCUUGCUCCAACCAGCACUAACUUGCACUAAGUUUUUUCCCCUUGGAGGUGGAAAGACUGUGGCCCAGCUGCAAUAAGGGAAGUGAACAGCUGCAAGGGUCCAGGAGGAAUUUCAUUGCCUCUUUCCGGUGGGGAAAGACUUAAUUUUAAGAUAGCUGAUUCUGCUCUAUUUUUCUAAUUUGAAUUGGAUUUAUUGCCCAUGUUGUACUGUUCUUGACUAAUGACAAUCCAAACUUCCUCACAUUGUCCUGCCAAUGUGCCAGAACCUUGUUUCACAGUUUCAGGGUAACUGCACCUAGAUCUCCUCUCUGUGGUCCAUUCCAGGAAUAUCCAGUCAGAUUUCAGGCCUCCAGCUUUCACCUGUCUCUGGGCAGGGGUGUGCGCUCCACUCAGUGGUGCUGGAACAAUUUGUAUAGUGAGGAUGCUGA